GAUGAACGCUGGCGGCGUGCCUAAUUCAUGCAAGUCGAGCGAACGGACGAGAAGCUUGCGUCUCUGUUGUUAGCGGCGGACGGGUGAGUAACACGUGGAUAACCUAUCUAUACGACUGGGAUAACUUCGGGAAACCGAAGCUUAUACCGGAUAAUAUUUUGAACCGCAUGGUUCAGAGGUGAAAGACGGUCUUGAGGUCACUUAUCGACGGAUCCGCGCUGCAUUGGCUAGUUGGUAAGGUAAACGCUUACCAUGCGAACGACGCAUAGCCGACCGGAGAGGGUGAUCUGCCACAUGGGAACUGAGACACGCUCCAGACUACAACGGGACGCAGCAGUAGGGAACUGUCCGCAAUGCGCGAAGACCUGCAGCAACAACGCCGCGUGAAGGAGGAAGGUGCUCGCAUCGUAAAACUCUGUUAUUAGGGAAGAACAUAGGUGUACUUAACUGUGCACAUCUUGACGGUACCUAAUCAGAAAGCCACCGCUACGUACGUG
rnacentral:rRNA from 1 species